rnacentral:rRNA from 1 species
UUAGUGCAAUGGCAUAAGCCAGCUGACUGCGAGCGUGACGGCGCGAGCAGGUGCGAAAGCAGGUCAUAGUGAUCCGGUGGUUCUGAAUGGAAGGGCCAUCGCUCAACGGAUAAAAGGUACUCCGGGGACAGGCUGAUACGCCCAAGAGUUCAUAUCGACGGCGGUGUUUGGCACCUCGAUGUCGGCUCAUCACAUCCUGGGGCUGAAGUAGGUCCCAAGGGUAUGGCUGUUCGCCAUUUAAAGUGGUACGCGAGCUGGGUUUAGAACGUCGUGAGACAGUUCGGUCCCUAUCUGCCGUGGGCGCUGGAGAACUGAGGGGGGCUGGCUCCUAGUACGAGAGGACCGGAGUGGACGCAUCACUGGUGUUCGGGUUGUCAUGCCAAUGGCACUGCCCGGUAGCUAAAUGCGGAAGAGAUAAGUGCUGAAAGCAUCUAAGCACGAAACUUGCCCCGAGAUGAGUUCUCCCUGAGACUUAGAGUCUCCUGAAGGAACGUUGAAGACGACGACGUUGAUAGGCCGGGUGUGUAAGCGCAGCGAUGCGUUGAGCUAACCGGUACUAAUGAACCGUGAGGCUUAACCUUACAACGCCGAAG